GACGAACGCUGGCGGCGUGCUUAACACAUGCAAGUCGAACGGUGACCUCGAGAGCUUGCUCUCGGGUGAUCAGUGGCGAACGGGUGAGUAACACGUGAGUAACCUGCCCCAGACUCUGGAAUAACAAUUGGAAACAGUUGCUAAUACCGGAUACGACACGAACGGGCAUCCGUAUCGUGUGGAAAGUUUUUCGGUCUGGGAUGGGCUCGCGGCCUAUCAGCUUGUUGGUGAGGUAAUGGCUCACCAAGGCGACGACGGGUAGCCGGCCUGAGAGGGCGACCGGCCACACUGGGACUGAGACACGGCCCAGACUCCUACGGGAGGCAGCAGUGGGGAAUAUUGCACAAUGGGCGAAAGCCUGAUGCAGCGACGCCGCGUGAGGGAUGAAGGCCUUCGGGUUGUAAACCUCUUUCAGUAGGGAAGAAGCGAAAGUGACGGUACCUACAGAAGAAGCACCGGCUAACUACGUGCCAGCAGCCGCGGUAAAAC
rnacentral:rRNA from 1 species